rnacentral:sRNA from 1 species
UUCUGAAUGAGUGGUUAUAGCGGUAGC